rnacentral:rRNA from 1 species
AGAGUUUGAUCCUGGCUCAGGACGAACGCUGGCGGCGUGCCUAAUACAUGCAAGUCGAACGCUUCUUUUUCCACCGGAGCUUGCUCCACCGGAAAAAGAGGAGUGGCGAACGGGUGAGUAACACGUGGGUAACCUGCCCAUCAGAAGGGGAUAACACUUGGAAACAGGUGCUAAUACCGUAUAACAAUCAAAACCGCAUGGUUUUGAUUUGAAAGGCGCUUUCGGGUGUCGCUGAUGGAUGGACCCGCGGUGCAUUAGCUAGUUGGUGAGGUAACGGCUCACCAAGGCCACGAUGCAUAGCCGACCUGAGAGGGUGAUCGGCCACAUUGGGACUGAGACACGGCCCAAACUCCUACGGGAGGCAGCAGUAGGGAAUCUUCGGCAAUGGACGAAAGUCUGACCGAGCAACGCCGCGUGAGUGAAGAAGGUUUUCGGAUCGUAAAACUCUGUUGUUAGAGAAGAACAAGGAUGAGAGUAACUGUUCAUCCCUUGACGGUAUCUAACCAGAAAGCCACGGCUAACUACGUGCCAGCAGCCGCGGUAAUACGUAGGUGGCAAGCGUUGUCCGGAUUUAUUGGGCGUAAAGCGAGCGCAGGCGGUUUCUUAAGUCUGAUGUGAAAGCCCCCGGCUCAACCGGGGAGGGUCAUUGGAAACUGGGAGACUUGAGUGCAGAAGAGGAGAGUGGAAUUCCAUGUGUAGCGGUGAAAUGCGUAGAUAUAUGGAGGAACACCAGUGGCGAAGGCGGCUCUCUGGUCUGUAACUGACGCUGAGGCUCGAAAGCGUGGGGAGCAAACAGGAUUAGAUACCCUGGUAGUCCACGCCGUAAACGAUGAGUGCUAAGUGUUGGAGGGUUUCCGCCCUUCAGUGCUGCAGCUAACGCAUUAAGCACUCCGCCUGGGGAGUACGACCGCAAGGUUGAAACUCAAAGGAAUUGACGGGGGCCCGCACAAGCGGUGGAGCAUGUGGUUUAAUUCGAAGCAACGCGAAGAACCUUACCAGGUCUUGACAUCCUUUGACUACUCUAGAGAUAGAGCUUCCCCUUCGGGGGCAAAGUGACAGGUGGUGCAUGGUUGUCGUCAGCUCGUGUCGUGAGAUGUUGGGUUAAGUCCCGCAACGAGCGCAACCCUUAUUGUUAGUUGCCAUCAUUCAGUUGGGCACUCUAGCAAGACUGCCGGUGACAAACCGGAGGAAGGUGGGGAUGACGUCAAAUCAUCAUGCCCCUUAUGACCUGGGCUACACACGUGCUACAAUGGGAAGUACAACGAGU